AUUGUGGUUUUGAUUUCCAUUUUUCUGAUGAUUAGUGAUGUUGAGCAUUUUUUCAUAUAGCUAUUGGCCAUUCGUAUCAAAAUGUCUGUUCAG